GGGAAAAAAAAAAAAAAGAAAACCUGCAAAGUAAACUGUGACAUGCUACCAUCUUUCUUUAAGAGUUAGUAACAAGUCCUAAUAACGCCAAAUACCCACCCCAUCAACCACAACCAAAAGAAGAAAGCAUCUUACCAUCACAAGACACAUCUAAUACAAAUUAAGAAAUAAAUAAAACUACACUAACAUAAGCAAAAGAUAUAAAGGUGAUCACUUGAAAAAUCAGCAAAAUCAUGAGCAUUGCUCUCGAGCCACACCAAGCCUUGAAUUGGGCACAUCAAAAAGUAUCCUAUGGUUUUGUUGCUGCAUGUUGGCUAUCACAUUUAGCACUGAAUUCACAUUCUCUGGUGCUGCUGCCAUGGCCAGGCAUGUGGUGCUGCCUGCUGUGCUGUGGAUUAGUAGGUUAUCCGGUGGCAAUGUCACAUUCAUCCCGGAGAACAUGAAUGUUAUGGUGGGUGCUACGAUUGGUA
rnacentral:misc_RNA from 1 species